rnacentral:tRNA from 3 species
GCGGGCGUAGCUCAGCGGUAGAGCUUCUGCCUUCCAAGCAGAAGGACGCGGGUUCAACUCCCGCCGCCCGCUCCA